CGGGGUUGUCGUGUCCCACCCCCAGACAGCUUCACCUGGCGAGGCACCAACACGGGGGCAGCGUUGGGCCAGGUUCUGUCCCUGAUCCAGACGGAGCCGUCCAGAACCAGCACCAGGAAACACGUCGUGGUGCUGAUCACAAGUGGUGAGACAGACCCCCCCCCAUGGGGCAUAUACCCCCCAGGGCAGACAUUUGGGCUUAACACCCCCAUAGACCUGCCUGCCUGCCUCUGGGGAUCCCCCAGACCUCCCCGCCCUAGGACCCCCAGGGACCCCCAUGCCCCCUCAGCCCUCCACCAGCCCCCCACUCUCCCUGGCACCCCAGCACUCCAAGGGCUAGUGCACAGGGAUAGGAGCCCAGCCCAGCCUCCCCCCCCAACUCCAUUGGGGGCAUCUUGGCUCACGGUUCCUCCUUCCUGCCCCACCAGGGAGACACAAUGUGGGGCCGGACCCAGCCGGGGUCUCAGCACAAAUCCAGGCGGCCAUCCCCAACCCGGACCAGAACUUGGAUAUCUUCGCUCUGGGGGUCGGGGUUGCCCACAAGGACCAGAUGGAGCAAAUCGCCACGAAGAAGCCGGGAACCCAAAGAUCCUUCUACCUGCAGAGCUACCGUGACCUGGGGGCCUACACCCAGCUGGUGCAGGGCUUGGGCAAAGGUCUCAGCUGUGGGGUGCGGGACGUGGGGCGCAGCCGGUCCAUCGGGCGGGUUUUCCGUGGGGUGCAGGUGAAGAAGCAGUGGCCCUGGCAGGUGUAUCUGAAGUUGGAAGGCAAGGUAGGAGCCCCCCCGAUCCCCUCCCCCCAGGCCCCCCCAUCCCUCCACUGAUCCAUCUUUCUCCCCCCCCAGAAUCAGCCCUAUAUUAUGGCAGGGGGCUCAAUCAUAGCCCCCUCCUGGAUCCUGACCGCGGCUCACAACGUCUGGGACGCAGCGGCCGGGCGAUCCAUGGCCCCCGAGCAAGUGUCUGUGGUUGUAGGUGAGACUGGCACGAGGGGGCGUCAGGGGUCAAGGGCCUCUGCAGGGGGCUCUGGGGGCAUGGGGA
rnacentral:lncRNA from 1 species